UUUCAAUGUUUGUGGUGUGUUUGUGUUUUUGGUUUGUUGUUAUGUCUCCUGUUUUUGUUAUCUCAGUUCCUUUGUUUUUCCAUAUGUUUAUAUUUUUCUUAAUAAGGCCCAUUUUUAGGUUAUUCCUGCAUUUUGGUCUAAUUCCUCCCUAUGAAAACACCCACUUUCUCUGACACAAGGACUCAGCCAGACUAUGCCUGGCACCUACUAUUUUUGGAGAAUCUUUUCUGGAUUACUCUUUCUAGCCUUUUGGGAUUUUUUUUUCUUUCCCCUAGAUAUCUAGUGUUCUUCGGUAGACUUUGCUCUGCACCUGUUCCUGUGGGUGACACUGCUUCACUUCUUGCCUGCAGUGGAAGUUCGGUUUCUGCGGUUGUUCGGUUUCUGAUGUAUUAUUUCCUCUGUGCCCUGUGACAUCGCUCCACUCCUGUUCCUGUGGGGGAUGCCACUUCACUUCCUGCUUUCCCAUGGAGGAUUUUGCAGGACUUUUUUCUGUUUGUAUUGGACUUUUUCAUGCUCCUGUGUGGGACGUGCCAGGAAUAGCUUGGACUUUGAUGAUUUGUCCGCUUCUGGCCUCCGAUCAGGGUUGUGCCUUAUUGCUGGUGUUGCUUGACCUUAGUGCAGCUUUUGGCAUACCAUUUAUACUGUUCUUCUUGAUAGGCUAGAAAAUGUUGCCAUUUUUAAAAGAACAGCACUCUCCUGGCUGAGGACUUUUUGACUAUCACCUUGUUAAUGUACUUGUGUGCGUUCCCCGAACCCCCUCUCACAUGCUACUCCUGAGCUCCCAGUGUUCCUAACUGCUUCUUGUCUCCGGACCUGCUUGAUCCAUUUUGAUGCCCUUCUUCUGGUUGGAGUCUCAUCACCUGGAGGUUCCCCCACUGCUGAGGAGGCUUACUAUAUGGGAUCAUUCUCAUCAGCAGAAAGUGGCCUCCAAGUGAUGAGAGUGCAUCCAGAAGUAGGGGUUCAUGAUGUAGUCCAGUGUGCAGAAACAGUCAAGAACAACUAUGACAGGACUCCAGCAUAACUAAAAGUCUACAAAAAGGAGUGCCAGGAGGAAGGAGAGGCACAACUUCCAACUUGUGAUCUAAGUGGGCAUGGUAGAUCAUAAAAAAAUUAUAUUCAAUGCAAAAUCUGACUGAAAUUUGAACUAAUAUAGUGUGGAUAAAUUUGAAGUGAUGUGUUCAUGUGCCUUUAAAGAGUAUGCCAUGUAACCCUGACACUUUGUUGGCAAAUGCUCAUGUCCCAAUUUAAAAUAUUUGUUUAGUUCUUUUGGAUUUACAUUUAGAUUUAUGGCAUUUGGCAGAUGCCCUUAUCCAGAGUCACGUACAAAAGUGCUUUGAAGUCUCUAUCAGUGUAUACAUCAAUACUGGUUUGCUAGGUCACAGAAUAAGGAUAUCAUGAGUCCAACACUCUGUUGGAAAGAAAAUAGUAAAUCUUUUAUACAAACAGGAAAAAAAGUGCUACUUUUAGUUUUUUAGGAAGAGGUAGGUCCCCCUGUUUGAAGACACUCAGUGACUCAGCUAUUUGGCCAUCUAGGGGAAGUUCAUUUCACCAUGAGUCACAAUGGAUCUUGAGAAUACAAGAGUCUUAAUG